rnacentral:lncRNA from 1 species
CUUGAAAGGAAAAAGUCAUAGAAUUAUGUGCCUAUAAGGAUCUUUGAAAAGCUCAGACAUAUUCCUGGGAAUCUAGAAGGUCAGGCACAAGUUCAGGACUGGGUAUAUUCUUAGAAAAGAAGCGAGAUGGCCCUAAUCUUUCCCCAUUGACUGACCCUGAGGCCCUGUGCAAGCGGCAAGAGAAUGCUAAGAUGGAGUUGUAAACUGCCUGGCAGAGCAUUGAAAUCAUGUCCCAACACAGGAACAGAGCCCCUCGGCAAAGGCUGGGAGUCUUACUGGAUCAAGGCAUUUAAGCUGCAUUAAAGAAGAUUCUCCAUGAACUGCUUAAAAGAAGAAGCCAAGAAGCUGAUUACAGCUUAGGGCCCCACCACAGCCAUCAAAAAUUACCAAAGGGAUGCUGGGACUUCAAGUUUUUUCCAGUUGUGCAGGAGGAAAGUCAUGGCCUCAGCCAUCUGCUUCCUGUCUGCAUCAUGACUCACAUCUUUCAGGUCCACUUGGACAGAAGUUCAGAUGAGAUCUGCUCAGGCCUGCUGCCCAGAGACUUGAUGGUGCUAAGGUUCAGGUAGCUGUGUGAAAGGAGGAGCAUGAAUCUAGGACCUGAGACCUAGGGGGACUGAGACAGGGUCACAAGCUUUUUAUCUUAUUCAGAAAAACCAGUUCAAUCUUCAUUACUGGUGGUGUAAGCAUGACACUAUUGCUUCUUGAUAGGAUGCACUGAAAGGAUACAACAUCACUCCUAUGAUAUUCCUGCCCCAAAUUCAGAAUCUGAAUCUAAUCACAGAGAAACAUCAGACAAGCCCAAAUUGAAAGGCGUUCUACCAAAUAACUGGCCUGGACCUUUUAUUUCUAUAAUAUACUGUACUGAGAGAUAGAGAGUCUCAGGAACUUUUCCAGAUUAAAGAAGACUAAAGAGACAUGAGAACUUGCAACAUGUGAUUCUAGACUGGAUUUUGGACCAGAAAAAGAACAUUAUUAAAGCAAUU